UGUUUUCGGGAGUGGUAUGUUG
rnacentral:piRNA from 1 species